UAAAUUAUUGGACAAAGUUGUUCAUGUUUUUUCUUCUUCUGGGGAAUUGGUAGAAGUGACCUGCAUUGCAAGCAGUAUAGUUUUGUGUCUUUUUUUAGUACAUCAAGUUAAAAUAGAUCCAAACACUAGUAUUAUUAGUUCACAUGCUGAAAUUGUCUUUGAAGUGUAAGGCUUCUUUCUAAAACAUACUAGUGGAAUUAUCGUUGCAUAUACAUCAUGUUUUUAUGGAAGGAAGAACCACUGAUAUUUUAAAACCUCCUUGGCUAUAUGCCAUGCUUAAUAAUUGUAAUUGGUUAAUGCUUGUUUCACCUUCCUUUUAUCAAACUUGUAACUCCAUAAUUUUCUUGUUAUAAUUAUUGUUAUUGUGAUUGGCUCCAUAAAUUUGAUUGCAUCCAUUUGUAAUUUUGAGUAUGCUAAUAAUAAUUUAAAAGAUCUUUUGUCAAUUAAUAGGUAAUUUAUAUUGUUAUGUUGUGAUUUAUCUCUGGUAGGCUUUGUCUAAUAUGCACAAGUGAGAUAAAUCGUUUCACCAUGUGCAAACUUGUUUCACCAUUAGAUCAAUAAGUCUCACCCUGCAUCUAUAAGUCACACCACAUCUCACUUGAUCCAAUGGAUAAAAUAAACUUGUGCAUGGUGAAAUAUUUGUCUCACUUGUGCACCAUAUACUUGGCUGCUAUAGUAAAUGCAUCUCCUGGAUAUCUAAAUCAUUGGUGGUUCCCUUGUUGCUUUUGCUAUUGAAAUGUGUUGUCUCCUGGCAUUAAGAAUGUUUCCACUUGAAGCUUUUUGAUCUUAUUUCCCAUGCCUUAAUCCUCGUGCUGUAUAUUGAUAUCAUCUGCAAGCAGAAUGAUCUUCCAUGUGUUGACGGGCAACAAACUUGUUUUUUUUUUCUUUCAUCGUUUUUCAUUUAGCUUUAGAUCAAAUGAAGGAUUUGUAGACUGUACAUUGAAUUGUACGUAGUGUGUUGACGAGUUAGACCUCUAGAGGUGUUCGUAAGUUCAAUUGCUCUCGUCUUUGGUAGGUUUUCUGGGCUGGUUUAUGUUUCAUUGGUGCAAACUGCAAUGUGUUGGCCUUUCUCUAACAUUGCUAACCAUAAUAUAGUACUAGUCACUUGAAUCACUAAAUGUUUUUGACUAUUGUAUUUCUCAGUUCAUCCUUAAAAGACUUAUUUUUUAUUUUUUGGUUUUAUCCUUAAAAGAUUUCUAGUGACCUGUAUAAAGCUUAAAUGAUCGUUUGUCUUUGUAUUUGUAAAUAGUGUGAUGUGAUGUGAUAAACAAAAUUAUACAUG
rnacentral:lncRNA from 1 species